rnacentral:rRNA from 1 species
AGCAGCCGCGGUAAUUCCAGCUCCAAUAGCGUAUAUUAAAGUUGUUGCAGUUAAAAAGACUCGUAGUUGAAUUUCGGGAUCAAGUCGUCGGUCGUGCCUCGGUACGCACUGGUGACAUUGGUUUCUCCCUUCUGAAGAACCUUGAUGUCAUUAAUUUGGUGUCUUGGGGAAUCAGGACUGUUACUUUGAAAAAAUUAGAGUGUUUAAAGCAAGCUCACGCUUGAAUACAUUAGCAUGGAAUAAUGAAAUAGGACGUUUGAUUCUAUUUUGUCGGUUUCUAGGAUCGACGUAAUGAUUAAUAGGGAUAGUUGGGGGCAUUAGUAUUCAAUUGUCAGAGGUGAAAUUCUUGGAUUUAUUGAAGACUAACUACUGCGAAAGCAUUUGCCAAGGAUGUUUUCAUUAAUCAAGAACGAAAGUUAGGGGAUCGAAGACGAUCAGAUACCGUCGUAGUCUUAACCAUAAACUAUGCCGACUAGGGAUCGGAUGAUGUUAAUUUUUAAUGACUCAUUCGGCGCCUUAA